rnacentral:rRNA from 1 species
GCUUAAUAAUGUAAUUAAUAUGAAAUUUAGUAUAGUUUUUAUUAUUAAUCAAAUUAUUUUGUUGGGGUGACAGGAAAAUAAAUGAACUUUUCUAUAAAAGUUACAUUAAUGAGUGAGAGUAGGAUCCAUUUUUAAUGAUUAUAAGAAAAAGU